CCUGAGAUUGGCAGGUUCUGCACCAAUCACGGCCCUCACUGGAACUCCGCCCGCCCCCCCGUCUCCAUGGCAACGCCCUGCGGGAAGGGGCCGCCUCCUCUGCUGCUUCCUAGACCGCAAAUGGCGAAAGGCUUGGCCCCUGCUUUCCGGGAGAUGCAGUCUGCAGGGUCCUUGUGUGCAGGUGCGCGCGGCGCGAGUCUCACACUGUCCCCCAGGCUGGAGUGCAGUGGUGCAAUCCUGGCUCACUGCAACCUCUGCUUCCUGGGUUCAAGCGAUUCUCCUGCCUCAGCCUCCUGAGUAGCUGGGACUACAGGAUAUUCACCACCAUGCCCAGCUAAUUUUUGUACUUUUAGUAGAGUUGGAGUUUCACCAAGUUGGCCAGGAUGGUCUUGAUCUCUUGACUUCGUGAUCCACCUGCCUCAGCCUCCCAAAGUGCUGGGAUUACAGGCGUGAGCCACUGUGCCCAGCCUGAUUUUUGUAUUUUUAGUAGAGACAGGGUUUCACUACUGGUCAGGCUCAUCUCAAACUCCUGACCUCAUGAUCCACCUGCCUCAGCCUCCGGUGUUGGGAUUACAGCCUUCCAGCAGCCAGCUUCCAGUGCCCUUCUGGUGACUGAUGAUGUCUGGCAAGGCUGCUGCUCCCUGGUGUUGCCUGAAGGUCAACAGAGCUGGCUGCCUUGCCUGGAAGGGAGAGACUCCUCUAUCCUUCUCUGGUCAAGAGUUCCAGAACUCUACAUGUGGUGCAGUUAGCAAUGGCAGCUCAUCUAGGGUGAAACCACAUACGUUUCGAGUGACUUAGACCUUCUCACUCUAAAUUCUCCGCUGAAGAGCCAGCCAUCCUGCUGCUCCAGAUGUUUUCAUCCAGGUGAUCCCAAACAGCAUCAGAACAGCCAAUCUUCCCUCAACCUCUUCCCCUGAGACCUUGGGCCAAGCACUCAGCGUAACUUGUGUCUGGACUGACAUGGGACUGUCACCCCAGUGGUCAUCCCAGGGUAAGGCACCCUAGCUCUGGGAGGCUUUUUCUAACAGGCAGGAUGCCCCUUUAGAAAAGUGCACCUCAGGGUCCUUCAGCAGAUGUGAGUGGAGCAGUUUUCCUUGGUAGGAUGCCCCAAGUGGCAAUUGGUUCAACUAGCCCCAAGCGGCUUGGUUUCCCAGUCACACAGUUCCCAAGUCCCUCAGACUUGCCUCUGGGUUGCAUUCUAAAACACUGGAGAUCUGGGCACGGUGACCCAUGUCUGUAAUCCCAGCACUUUGGGAGGCCGAGGUGGGUGGAUCACAAGGUCAGCAGAUUGAGACCAUCCUGGCUAACACAGUGAAACCCUGUCUUUACUAAAACAAACAAACAAAAAGAAUUGGCCAGGUGUGGUGGCACACACCUGUAGUCUCAGCUAUUUUGGAGGGCGAGGCAGGAAAAUUGCUUGCACCUGGGAGGUGGAGGUUGCAGUGAGCCAAGAUCAUGCCACUGCACUCCAGCCUGGGUGACAGACGUGAGACUCUGUCUAUAAAAUAAAGUAAAAUAAAAUAAAAAACAUUGGAACAAAUUUGGCCUCCGAAAUCUCAAAAAGAAAUCCUUAUUUUUUUAAGCAAUGUGGCUUGCCUGCUUUACAAACUUCUGGGCCAGAAAUUCUUGUCUCUGAACAAGACCCUUGCUUCCGAUACUAUGUUACAGCUUGGCCUUUUCUGUCACAACUCCUAUAAAUGGUCUGAAGUUCUUUUUUUUUAGACACUCUAUCACCCAGAAUAGAGUGCAGGGGCACAAUCUCAGCUCACUGCAACCUCUGCCUCCUGGGUUCAGUCGAUUCUCCUACCUUAGCUUCCUGAGUAGCUGGGAUUAGAGGCGCACAACACUACACCCAGCUAAUUUUUGUAUUUUUAGUAGAGAUAGGGUUUCACAAUGUUGGCCAGGCUGGUCUUGAACUGCUGACCACAUGAUCCACCCACCUCAGCCUCCCGGGGUGCUGGGAUUACAGGUGUGAGCCACCUCACCUGGCCCUGAAGUUCUUUAUGUCCAGGAUUUUAUGACUGUCUCUCUGGAUCCCAGUCUCUGCCAAACCUAUCCACUGUGCUUGGCUGAAUUCUCUAGCACCACUGACUCUUCUGACAAUAACACUUCCUCUACCCUUUCUGCUUUCCCCAGGCAGCUGGACUGGUUGAGGCCACCCUGCACAUAUCACCUUCAUGUUCAACUGUCCCUCCUCCAUGUGUUCCUUGUCCCUCACCUCCUUGUCAUCUCAACCUUGGAUGUCAUUUUCCAGUUCCACCUCCUUUGCAGGGACUCUUGUCCCCUUCACAUACUAGGUUGGGGGCCACUUAUGAUCCCUCUUUAGGUCCAGACAAGGUUCUUCUGCUCUGAGAAAUGGCAAAGGUGGAUCUAGGAACCAUCAGAGUCCAUUUUUCCUUUUUCAGUGUCUGCCCUCUCUCGGAUAGAAGCUAAGCUUUUGUCUCCUUUAGCCAAGACCUGUCCCAUUUCAUAAGACAACUGAAAGGACUAAAUAUUUUAUUUAAUAUCACUGGCAGGAUAUUUAUAUGAUCUGUGCCACCUCUUGUGCUCAUGAGGAAAAGUCCUGCCUUUGGUCUCUAGCUCGAUGAUAGGCAGAUGAGGUUCAUGCCUGGAACCCUCAGGAGUCUGGCCUGGGGAGAACGGGAGUUCCUAAUGCUGAUCCUAGAUGGGGCUACUGAGAGGGAAACACUAGCAGGGAAUGCCAUCAUCAUGUGAUUACUUGUUUAACUGAAGGCAUGAAGAAGGCUGUCAUAAAACCAGUCACCUAUGCCAAGCUAACAGAGGUAAUUCAGGAGCCAAAUGAAAACCCAGCUCUAUUUUACUGCAGGUUGGCUGAAGCUGUGAGAAAACGUACUAAUAUGGACCCCGAGAGCUGAGAAGUCCUCGGUAUUUUGACUGUUCAUUUUAUUAGCCGGGCUAAUAAAUUGCAGGGUGAAUGAGACAGAAAAGACCAAGAAAGAGAUAAGUGGCAGGUUCACGACACGGCUGCUGCCAUUUCAAAUUCUCUGCCCAUCCCAAGGGCCCCAGGUCAGCCAUCAGGAUGGAGCCUAACAGCCACUAAGGAACCCACUAUCUGCUGUCACUAUAAUCAGCAGGGCAAAUCAGCUGGAAAUGCCCAAAGCUUCCCCAAUCAUACUCUGGUCCUUAGUGACCCUGUCCUCACCGCAAACAAGCAGGACAUUGGAAACAGGACUGCCCCUCUCUCCUUUGUGUGGAGGGUCAUCACACAACCAGCAACCCCAGUUUGUGAGCCAGUUUGUGAGAAUGGAAACCACAAAUGCCCCCAACUGUAUUCUUUGACUAUGAGAAACUUAUGAAACUCAGGAGGCAGAAAAAAAAUGACUAAUGGGGUCCAGAAGCCAUCCAGGCCAUCCAGUAACCCUAACUCUGGCAGGAAAUAAGAUUGAGUUUUUAAUUUACACAGGAACUACUUAUCCAGCCCUAAGUAGUUUUUUUGGUCCUACCUUUUGGUCUUCAAUCUUCCUCACCAGCAUAUAUGCCAGGCCAGGUCAGGCCAGAGCAGGGAUGCUUCACCUCCCCCCAACUAUUUUUUUUGAGGUAGAGUCCUGCUCUUUUGCCCAGGCUGGAGUGCAGUGGUGCAAUGUCAGCUCACUGCAACCUCUGCCUCCUGGGUUCAAAUGAUUCUCCUGCCUCAGCCUCGUGAGUAGCUGGGACUGCAGUCACCCAGCUAAUUUCUGUGUUUUUAGUAGAAAUGGGUUUUCCCAUGUUGGCCAGGCUGGUCUCAAACUCCUAACCUCAGGUGAUUUACUGGCCUCAGCCUUCCAAUGUUAGGAUUACAGGUGCGAGCCACUGUGCCCGAACUCCAGCUUGUUUUAAGAAUCCAGUAACAUCACGAUGUUUAACAAUUGGCUUAGAUAUUCAGAAGCAGCGGAUGUAAACUUUUAAUGAAUUUUGUGCAUAAAUAAAUUAUAUCAAAGUAAGCGAAUUCCAUGAAGCUGAGAAUGAUGUCUUCUGGCUUUGCUACCUGGUAACUCCUUUAGUGCACUGUGCCCCCUACCAAGCAUCAUAGGGAGCAGGGACAAAGGAGGUGGGUGGGAGCACAGGGACACAGGCAUGGUGACGUCCAUCCCUGCCUUGCCCCCAUCCUGUCCACCCCUUUCUAUAAUACAAUCAUUUGAUAAUGGUUUCCCAUGUGUAAAAUAUUUGCCUGGUUCAGUCACAGAGAGACACUUGAUGUUCAAAUUAACUGAGGAAGAAGCUAUUCACAUGCCAAGUAGAAACUUCAAAAAAAUUCCUGAAUUAGCUGUGUUCUUGAAGUAAAACCAACUUAAAAGAUUGAGUGUGUAUCCAAGCAAGCCUGCUUGGCUUCUUGGCUUUCUGUGCUCCCCAUUUCUUCCUCCUUUCAGAGCAUGGAUUCUAUUUUCAAACCUGGGAAAAGAGGUCCUCAAGGUGGGAGGUGAAGACAGGAGGAUAAAAAAUCAGGAGUUCAAGACCAGCCUUGUCAAUAUAGUGAGAUCUUGUCUCUAGAAAAAAAAAAAUUAAUCGGCUGAUUCUGGCGGUGCCUGCCUGUGGUCCCAACUCCUCAGGAUGCUGAGGCAUCACUUGAGCCCAGGAAUUGGAAGCUGCAGUGAGCUGUAAUCAUGCCACUGCACUCCAGCCUGUGUGGCAGAGCAAGACCCUGUCUAAAAACAACAAAAAGGCAGGCUCAGUGGCUCACACCUGUAAUCCCAGCACUUUGGGAGGCUGAGGCAGGAAGAUCUCUUGAGGCCAGGAGUUUGAGACCAGCCUGGGAAACAUAGUGUGACCGUGUCUUAGAUUAAAAAAAAAAAAGGCUGGACACAGUGGCUCAGUCAUGUCAUCCCAACACUUUGGGAGGCCAAGACAGGCAGAUCACAAGGUCAGCAGUUAAAGAUCAGCCUGGUCAACAUGGCGAAAUGCUGUCUCUACUAAAAAUACAAAAAUUAGCUAAACACGGUGACACAUGCCUGUAAUCUUUGCUACUCAGGAGGCUGAGACAGGAGAAUUGCUUGAACUGGGACCUGGGAAGCAGAUAACGUAGUGAGCAGAGAUCGCACCACUGCACUCCAGCCUGGGCUACUGAGAGAGAUUCUGCCUCAAAAAAAAAAAAAAUGUUUGGGAACUUCCACUUCCACAAUGUAGACAUCCGGUGCUGGGGACUAUUUCGCAUCAUAACCAAGACACGUGGCCGGAGAGUCUGUGAUGAUUAUUUGUGUUUGUGCAAACUCAAGAGGAGACAAGCUCCUGGACCAAGAGGCACUCUGUAACUGUAUGGAGCAGACACAUGAGGAGAGACAGGUUAUUGCCUCCUGCACUAAAGGAAUGAACCAAGAUGUUGAUUUUGAAGAGCCAACACUUUCCCAAGAAGCCUCCACAGUGUGACCUCACAGGGCCUCCACCAGCACUGAGUCAGAAUUAAGGCCUCCAAGGCAGGGCCAUAUUCUCGCAGAGGCCCUCCUCAAAACUUGGCCUCAAGUGAUCAAAAGAUGUUGAUUUGGCAGCUCCUCACCAGACGUCCUGCUCCCACUCUUGCUUUUCCAUACCCAGUCUCUUCAUAAGCAGCUGGAAUUUUUUGGUGUUUCUGUUUUGUUGUGUUUUUCUUUGUGAGAGAGUCUCUCUGUCACCCAGGCUGAAGUGCAGUGGUAUGAUCUCUGCUUACUGCAACCUCCACCUUAUGGGUUAAAGCAAUUCUCAUGCCUUAGCCUCCCAAGUAGCUGGGAUUACAGGCACCUGCUACCAUGCCUAGAUAAUUUUUUAGUAGAGAAAGGUUUCACCAUGCUGGCCAGGCUGGUUUUGAACUGUUGACCUCAGGCAAUUCACCUGCCUUGGCCUCCCAAAGUGCUGGGAUUACAGGCAUAAGCCACCAUGCCAGGCCUCUUUUAGUUAUUUUAAACUAUACACUAAAUUACUGUUUACCAUUGUCACUCUGUUUUACUAUCAACUACUGCAUCUUAUUCUUUCCAACUGUAUUUUUGUACCCAUUAAUUAUUCCUGUGCACUCCCUCCAGCCCACCACCCUCCCCAGCCUACGGUAACCAUCAUUCUACCUCUAUCUCCAUGAGUUCAAUUGUUUUUAUUUUUAGCACCCACAAAUGACUGGGAGCCUGCAAAAUUUGUCUUUCUGCAUCUGGCUUAUUUUAGUUAACAAAGUGAUCUCCAGUUCUACACUUGUUGUUGCAAAUAACAGAUUCUAUUCUUUUUAAUGGCUGAAUAAUAUUCCAUUGUGAGUAUGUACCACAUUUUCUUUAUCCAUUCACCUGUUGAGGGACACUUAGAUUGCUUCCAAAUCUUGGCUAUUGUGAAUAGUAUUGCAAUAAAUAUAGAGAUGUAGAUAAUUCUUUGAUAUGCUGAUUUUCUUUCUUUUGGGUUCAUACCCAGCAGUAGGAUUCCAAUGCCAUAUAAAAGCUCUCUUUUUAGUUCUUCGGGACCCUCCAAACCAUUCUCCAUUGUGGCGGCACUAAUCUACAUUCCCACCAACAGUGUACUAGGGUUCCCUUUUCUCCACACUCUAAUUAGCAACUGUUGUUGCCUGUCUUUUAGCUGUGGGAUGAUAGCUCAUUGUAGUUUUAAUUGGCAUUUCUCUGAUGAUCAAUGAUGUUGAGGACCUUUUCAUAUACCCACUUGCCAUUUAUAGAUCUUCUUUUGAUAAAUGUCUAUUCUGAUCAUUUGCACAUUUUAAAUCAGAUUAUGAGAGCUUUUUUCCUAUUUAUUUUUCCCCUGAGCUUGUAAUAUACUCUGGUUUUUAAUCCCUCAUCAGAUGGAUUCAGGAUUUUGUCUUUAUUUUACACCCAAUUCUAAACCAUUAAAUGCUGUCAA